rnacentral:rRNA from 1 species
UACGUAGGGUGCAAGCGUUGUCCGGAAUUAUUGGGCGUAAAGAGCUCGUAGGCGGCCUGUCGCGUCGGCUGUGAAAACCCGGGGCUCAACCCCGGGCCUGCAGUCGAUACGGGCAGGCUAGAGUCCGGCAGGGGAGACUGGAAUUCCUGGUGUAGCGGUGAAAUGCGCAGAUAUCAGGAGGAACACCGAUGGCGAAGGCAGGUCUCUGGGCAUUAACUGACGCUGAGGAGCGAAAGCAUGGGGAGCGAACAGG